CCUCAUCACCGUCUCUCAAUACCCUUCAGAGAACCCAAAUAACGCAACCCUCAAACCACCGGCUGCCGCCCGCCAGAAAUCAUCCACAGCAGUGGCCGGCGGCCAAAUGCUACCAUUUUUACAGAAUCGAUGCUCUUCGACCCCCUCUUCUCAAAUCUCCCGUCACGUUUCUUCAAAUCCACCCGGAAUGGCUCGAAUAUUAGAUCAAAAUACAACCCUAGCGCCACCCUAGUUUCACCGAUGGCGACGCCACCACUAAAUUUACACCCCAUUACCUUCUUCACCCCUUCUUCCCUAAUCCAUGGCUAGUUUCCCUCUAAUCACCCCUGAACUCCUCAUAUAUUCAAAUUGAAUCAGAACCCUAAAUCCCAAAAAGUGCAAGUAAGCCAGUUGGACGAAAGUUUGAGUUCGGAUUGGACUUUAGUCGCGUGUUUUCAUCGAGCACACACGAUUAAGGUCUAAUUUGACCCAAAAUCGGGUUAAUCAAAGGGUCGAUUCAAGGGUUUUAUUCACCUAUUUUUGGACAUGUAUUUUUCAGGACCUUUUUCUUCACUUAUUUUCUUUAUUUCUUUCUAUGAUUCUUCUCCUCUUUGGCUUUCUCAAAGUCAUUCUUGCAUGUGUCCCUUUAAUCCAGGCUAACUAGUAUCCUCUUCAGUUUUUAUUUUGUUUGAUUUUCAGAAGUUCGUCUUGAUUUCAAAAGUAUUUUUGUUCAUUGUUCGUUUGUUUUAGUUUUCCAUAAUUAUUUGUUCAUGUAUGAUUAGCCUUGAACCUUUUCUUUAAUCGGUGAAAUUGGUCCAUUAAUUAACUUAGUUUAUAAAUUUAGUAAGUCUAGCUAAUGGAUUGUCUGGUCUAGGAUUUAAUUGCUGAAAUUUUUCUAGUAUUUCAAAUUUUAACUGGACUAGUUGUUUGUUUGAGUAUUGGGACUUCUGACCCAUUUAGGAAAAGAAGGGCAAGCCCAGUUUUGAAAUUGGACCAUUGGGUCAAAUUGACCCAUGUCCGUUUGGUUUAAGGGCAAUUUCAGAGUCACUAAGGGGUAAUUUGGGUAGUUUAACUUAGAGAAUCUUUGGGUAACUUCCUAGGAAGCUUCGUAGAAGAUGAAAAACAUGUUUACUUGGCCAACACGUAAAUAAUUUAGGGACCAAGUAGCAAAAAUAAAAAUUUAAAACGGUCUAAAAGGCAAAACUUAGUCUAUUUCUAUGGCCCUAAUAGCUUGCCUAUAAAGGCAUUGCUAAGUGAAGCUCAAACGAGAUUUUAGAGGAGGAAUUUAGAGACUUUUAGAAGAGAUUUCUAGACUUCAGAUUUAUAAAGAGAAACAUAGAGAUAAAAUUCUGAAAAAAUCAAAAAUAGCUAGGAAAUUUCAAAAAAGUUACAGUUCCAUUGGUCCUCUUCUGUGAUUUCUAAAGCUUUUAAUUUCUGAAAAUAUUCUGAUUAACUUGGGGUAAAAAUAGACUGAAAUUGGAUUUUGGUUUGGGUUGUUGUUCCUGUGUUGUUAAAUUGUUGCAUUUUGCUGCUGCUGCUGCUUCUUCCUGAUCUCAAGUUUGUUUCUGUUGUAUUUUGUUAUAUUCAGGUACAUAUUUCUGAAUCCUACUUAAUGUGAUGUUAAUUUGAAGGAUGAAAUGGAAAAUGGAGUUUAAAGCAUAGCAUCAGCUUUGUUCAUGAUUCAGUUAUAUUCCAUUAUGUUUUAUUGCUUGAUUCACUUUAUCUUCUAGCAGAUUUUUCGGUUUUUAAUAGUUGGACUUUUAUCAUUAUAUUUAAUUUUAGGACUGUUAAAAUUACCACAGUACAAGGGUUAGUCGAGUUACAUCCUUGAAACAAGCUAAUUUCUGUAGUAUUUUAGUGCCUAUUAUGUAUACAUUUGACCAUUUUGUUGUUAGUUCUCUUUGAAUUUUGAAAGAUUCAAGUAGAUACUCUAAUUUAGAUGAGUGGUUUGUUAAAGGGACUGCAACAUUAUUGAAUAUGUGGACUGUUGGUUUAUCCACAUGUAAGUAUGAAGAAAAUAGAUAUAGGAUUAGAACUUUUGCUUGACCUGCUGAUUGAUACAUGAGAUUUAAUUGAAAAUUACCUGUUGGACCCAUGUUACCAGGCAUAUUCAUCUGUCCCGUUAAGUGUUUUGGUGAAAGUUGAAGUAGAAGUUGGUUGUGUUUUGAUAGCAAUACCAAUAAGGUGAUUGGUUAUAAUACUCUAUGGUAAUUUCACCAAAGUGUUUUAGUUUAAUGAUAUUUAGAAUGAUUUUGAUUUUUCGAAGUCUCUGUGGUUUGGGUCUUCUUGAUCAUCAAGGUUUUAGUUUGUGUUGAAAACGAAGAAUGCAUGCUCUUGUAUUUCUCUUUAUUAUGAAGGCAUGUCUUGUGUAAAUUUGAAAUGGUUAAGUGUUGUGUGUGUUGUUUGAAUUUGGGGUGUUAAAGGAUGAAAUAAGUUGCAUACGAGCUAUUACCAAUUAGAAAUUGUAUUUUCAUUUUUAGAAUAGGCUUUGUACCUACUCAAGGAUCUUUAGUAUUUGUACAAACUUUAGAUAUUUCAUAAAAAUUAAGGUUUGCCUUUAGUGUUAUUGUUGAAUCAUGAAUUGGGCCGUUAGCGUUGGUCCAGUUGUGCAAAAAUUCUCCUCGGUGAUUUAUAUUAUCGAUAUGGGACUUAUGUUGAGACCCGUUUCUACCUUCCCACCCGUUAUAAUUGGCGAGUGUCAACUAGGCUUUCCAGUCGACUUGUGCCCCUUGUGAUAACCAAAUACCCGUUUUACUUAGGAUCACCAAAUUAGCUACUAAAGUUUAGUUCAAACACUUGAUUAAAAUGAAUUAAAAAUGGGAUUUUUACCUAUACAUCCCAUAUACCAAACCUUUCUACCACUCAUGUUUAAG
rnacentral:lncRNA from 1 species